CUUUCGGCUUGCUGUACAGACUGCUGCCCACCAGCUGGCUAGGUCGCUCUAACAGAAAGACAGCAUGAGAACUGGGAGAGCUGAGAACAACUGUUGAACCAUGGAUGUAAUGAUCCCCUUCUUUCCAUCAGCAACAAUGGCAAAUCCUCUGUGCUGAAGACCACAUUUUCUCCCUGGAAAAAUGGAAAUGUUACUGUUUAGACACAGAUCCCUGAAAAGCCCAUGUGGCUCACUCAGCAGGGCAAAAGCUACCCAAGGGUCAGCCUGGUUCCUUACAUCCUGGCUUUCCUGAAGACACCAACAGACCUGAUGCCAUUUGGUUUCUGGACCCAUGGGGACAGUUCCGAUGAGCUAGUAUAUGGUGGAAAAGUGGCAGAGAACAAGCGGCAGAAUGGUCUGUAUCCUCUGCAAUUUCGUAAAAGAAUACCAAGCUCCAUCUUUGUACUAAGAUCUCUCACACACUGAAAAACAGAGAGACAUGCAUGCUCUUCUGGAUUGCUCAUAAGAAAAAAGCUUUGCAUCAGAAACUACCAAGGUACAUUUUGGUAAAAGAUGUUAAAUGGGGAUUGCAAAUAUAAAUACCCUGGAUACCUAUGAGAGGAAGAGCUGAACAAAAGAAAGGAACCAGGCUCACCACCGGCAGCUCUCAGGGGUACACUCUCUCCUAGUUACAAGUACAAGAAGAGUGGCUGAAGAGAGACAAAACAGGGACUUUACACACUGUACACAGCGAUGGCUGGAGAAACACGGGCUACGUAGAGGCUUUACAGUGUGUCACUACAGUCGGGCUGUGAUUGUCUACCAAUACUCUGGAGUGAAGAGCCAGGAAAGAAACCACUCCCACCACCGCCUUAAAGAGCAACUGCACAGGAAGAUAGCGACGUGGGUCGGUUUUCCCAACUGGGGAGGAAAAUUUUGUCAGCUAGAGAAAGCAUACAAAGUGCCUAAGGUUAAAAAAAAAAAUGGUGCAGGUCUUCCACACCAUCUCAGAUCGUCUGUCCAGAAAACCAUGCACAAAAACAGGAUUCAAUGAAACACCAAAGACAAAGCUGUAACAGGCAGUUGUUUGGGCAGACUCAGAUUGACUAUACACAUGUCUAGUGGGACAAAACAGGCUAAAGGCGGGGGGAAAACCAAUAAAGAGGAAGGCAAGGGGCAUUCUGAGAAAUGUGCUCAACAUAAAAUAGACAUUUGUCCAAACUCUUGAUUAAUUAAUUACUAGUUAAUUCUUUCAAAUCACUGAACCUCGGAUUCUCACCUCUCAAUGGAGAAAUAAAAGAACAAGAUUCAGUUAUGAUCAAGCUCUUCUUCAGCCCUUACAUGAACAAAUAAAUAAGCAACACAACAACAGGAACAGAAACAUACUUCUCCUAAACCUGGGUACCCUGCUAAGAAUGCAUUAUCCUGGACAGGACCUCAGUAACCAAGUUCUUCACACUCUUGCUUCCAUAUGUUGCCUGAGGAAAGAAUCGACAAGAAAACAGGUGCUAAAUAAAUCAGGCAAAGCCAGUGUC